rnacentral:rRNA from 1 species
UACGGGGGGGGCAAGCGUUGUUCGGAAUUACUGGGCGUAAAGGGUUCGUAGGUGGCUUGUUAAGUCAGACGUGAAAUCCCUCAGCUUAACUGGGGAACUGCGUCUGAGACUGGUGAGCUCGAGUGCAGGAGAGGAACGCGGAAUUCCAGGUGUAGCGGUGAAAUGCGUAGAUAUCUGGAGGAACACCGGUGGCGAAGGCGGCGUUCUGGACUGCAACUGACACUGAUGAACGAAAGCCAGGGGAGCAAACGGG